rnacentral:tRNA from 1 species
GCGCCGGUGGUGUAACUCGUGACAUCGCUGCCCGGAAAGCAGAAGAUGCAGGUUCGAGUCCCGCCUGGCGCA